CACACUGAUUAAUUAUAGCUUGCCAAACUGUUCUCCAAGACGUUGCAUUAUUUUCCCAUGAGUAUAUCCGAAGAUUACCAUCAGAAUCUAGUCUAAGGAACCGAAACUUCACAUCAGAAUCAUUGUGGUCCUCACCAUAGACAGACCAAACAGCUUUAGAUUGCUGAUCAAGUAGUUGGAGGAUUCCGGCAGAACCAAGCAUGGCUCGGACAGCAGAUUGAGG
rnacentral:misc_RNA from 1 species